rnacentral:rRNA from 1 species
UUAUAUGAGAGUUUGAUCCUGGCUCAGGAUGAACGCUGGCGGCGUGCCUAAUACAUGCAAGUCGAACGAGUUCUCGUUGAUGAUCGGUGCUUGCACCGAGAUUCAACAUGGAACGAGUGGCGGACGGGUGAGUAACACGUGGGUAACCUGCCCUUAAGUGGGGGAUAACAUUUGGAAACAGAUGCUAAUACCGCAUAGAUCCAAGAACCGCAUGGUUCUUGGCUGAAAGAUGGCGUAAGCUAUCGCUUUUGGAUGGACCCGCGGCGUAUUAGCUAGUUGGUGAGGUAAUGGCUCACCAAGGCGAUGAUACGUAGCCGAACUGAGAGGUUGAUCGGCCACAUUGGGACUGAGACACGGCCCAAACUCCUACGGGAGGCAGCAGUAGGGAAUCUUCCACAAUGGACGCAAGUCUGAUGGAGCAACGCCGCGUGAGUGAAGAAGGCUUUCGGGUCGUAAAACUCUGUUGUUGGAGAAGAAUGGUCGGCAGAGUAACUGUUGUCGGCGUGACGGUAUCCAACCAGAAAGCCACGGCUAACUACGUGCCAGCAGCCGCGGUAAUACGUAGGUGGCAAGCGUUAUCCGGAUUUAUUGGGCGUAAAGCGAGCGCAGGCGGUUUUUUAAGUCUGAUGUGAAAGCCCUCGGCUUAACCGAGGAAGCGCAUCGGAAACUGGGAAACUUGAGUGCAGAAGAGGACAGUGGAACUCCAUGUGUAGCGGUGAAAUGCGUAGAUAUAUGGAAGAACACCAGUGGCGAAGGCGGCUGUCUGGUCUGUAACUGACGCUGAGGCUCGAAAGCAUGGGUAGCGAACAGGAUUAGAUACCCUGGUAGUCCAUGCCGUAAACGAUGAAUGCUAGGUGUUGGAGGGUUUCCGCCCUUCAGUGCCGCAGCUAACGCAUUAAGCAUUCCGCCUGGGGAGUACGACCGCAAGGUUGAAACUCAAAGGAAUUGACGGGGCCCGCACAAGCGGUGGAGCAUGUGGUUUAAUUCGAAGCAACGCGAAGAACCUUACCAGGUCUUGACAUCUUUUGAUCACCUGAGAGAUCAGGCUUCCCCUUCGGGGGCAAAAUGACAGGUGGUGCAUGGUUGUCGUCAGCUCGUGUCGUGAGAUGUUGGGUUAAGUCCCGCAACGAGCGCAACCCUUAUGACUAGUUGCCAGCAUUUAGUUGGGCACUCUAGUAAGACUGCCGGUGACAAACCGGAGGAAGGUGGGGAUGACGUCAAAUCAUCAUGCCCCUUAUGACCUGGGCUACACACGUGCUACAAUGGAUGGUACAACGAGUUGCGAGACCGCGAGGUCAAGCUAAUCUCUUAAAGCCAUUCUCAGUUCGGACUGUAGGCUGCAACUCGCCUACACGAAGUCGGAAUCGCUAGUAAUCGCGGAUCAGCACGCCGCGGUGAAUACGUUCCCGGGCCUUGUACACACCGCCCGUCACACCAUGAGAGUUUGUAACACCCGAAGCCGGUGGCGUAACCCUUUUAGGGAGCGAGCCGUCUAAGGUGGGACAAAUGAUUAGGGUGAAGUCGUAACAAGGUAGCCGUAGGAGAACCUGCGGCUGGAUCACCUCCUUU